rnacentral:rRNA from 1 species
UACGUAGGGUGCAAGCGUUAAUCGGAAUUACUGGGCGUAAAGCGUGCGCAGGCGGUUAUGUAAGACAGUUGUGAAAUCCCCGGGCUCAACCUGGGGAACUGCAUUGUGACUGCAUAGCUGGAGUACGGUAGAGGGGGGAUGGAAUUCCGCGUGUAGCAGUGAAAUGCGUAGAUAUGCGGAGGAACACCGAUGGCGAAGGGCAAU